rnacentral:rRNA from 1 species
CCUACGGGAGGCAGCAGUGGGGAAUAUUGCACAAUGGGCGGAAGCCUGAUGCAGCAACGCCGCGUGCGGGAUGACGGCCUUCGGGUUGUAAACCGCUUUCGCCUGUGACGAAGCGUGAGUGACGGUAAUGGGUAAAGAAGCACCGGCUAACUACGUGCCAGCAGCCGCGGUGAUACGUAGGGUGCGAGCGUUGUCCGGAUUUAUUGGGCGUAAAGGGCUCGUAGGUGGUUGAUCGCGUCGGAAGUGUAAUCUUGGGGCUUAACCCUGAGCGUGCUUUCGAUACGGGUUGACUUGAGGAAGGUAGGGGAGAAUGGAAUUCCUGGUGGAGCGGUGGAAUGCGCAGAUAUCAGGAGGAACACCAGUGGCGAAGGCGGUUCUCUGGGCCUUUCCUGACGCUGAGGAGCGAAAGCGUGGGGAGCGAACAGGCUUAGAUACCCUGGUAGUCCACGCUGUAAACGGUGGGUACUAGGUGUGGGGUCCAUUCCACGGGUUCCGUGCCGUAGCUAACGCUUUAAGUACCCCGCCUGGGGAGUACGGCCGCAAGGCUAAAACUCAAAGGAAUUGACGGGGCCCCGCACAAGCGGCGGAGCAUGCGGAUUAAUUCGAUGCAACGCGUAGAACCUUACCUGGGUUUGACAUGGAUCGGGAGUGCUCAGAGAUGGGUGUGCCUCUUUUGGGGUCGGUUCACAGGUGGUGCAUGGCUGUCGUCAGCUCGUGUCGUGAGAUGUUGGGUUAAGUCCCGCAACGAGCGCAACCCUU